AAGCAGUUCCCCACAAGCCGAAACCAAACCAAAACAGGCCUCAACCAAUUGGCUCCAGCUCAAACUCUGAGUCCCAGAGCUCCUCCAAACCGCCGUAUUCAGAGAGCCGCUCUCACCGCCGCGCCAAUGAUGAUGAUGAUGAAGAAGAGGAGGAAUAUCGCCGCCAGCUGGCAGACCAAACCCGCAGAGGCUACUACAGUGCCCAGAAAUACAACGACACUGAACUCUAACACCCAAUCUCCCAUUAACUGUGUGCGUCUGUGUUGGGAUGUUUCCUGUGCAUGUCAUUAUAGAACAAAUGAAUGUGCUUCUAGUUGUUGUGUGAGUAAGAGGGACUGACAUGAACCACAGAUAAAGCACAUGAGAUAUUGUUUGCCACAAACACACAUACACGCCAUUUAUAAAUCAGCAUCUUUUUAUACCUGCAAUGUUUUUAUAUGAAAUUUCAGUGUAUAUUUCAUUUCUGCCUGUAGUGUUUUUUUGUUUUUGUUUUUACACGCUUUUGUUUUUUUUCCACAAUGCCACUAGCUACUAGGAGUCAACGUUACACUUUCCUCAUUUACACUGCUGAAGUUUGCCAUAAACCAAAAGUGAAAUUGCUUUAAAUGUUAUUUUCCAAAACAUUUGCUGGAGUGCCUUAUUAAUAUUAUUAACUUAUGCUUAGCUAAUGCUUUAAAAGUUGCUUCAUAUAUUACCGUGCUCUAAUUAUGUUAAAAACUGGCUUCUGAUAUAAUGUCACAUCAUCUUUUAUACUGAUUCUCUGAGAAUAUAAGAAGAUCAUGUAUAAUGUGCACACUGUUGGUGUGUGUCUGUGAUCAGUGCUUUGGGUUUAACCACUAAUAAAACAAGAGUUGUGGGAUUUUAAAUUUUUUAAAGACAAAUCAAUAAACCUGACUUUUAAUGUUG